rnacentral:rRNA from 1 species
UACGUAGGGGGCAAGCGUUGUCCGGAAUCAUUGGGCGUAAAGAGCGUGUAGGCGGCUCGAUAAGUCUGCUGUGAAAGUCCAGGGCUCAACCCUGGAAGGCCGGUGGAAACUGUCGGGCUAGAGUCCGGAAGAGGCGAGUGGAAUUCCCGGUGUAGCGGUGAAAUGCGCAGAUAUCGGGAGGAACACCAAUGGCGAAGGCAGCUCGCUGGAACGCAACUGACGCUGAGACGCGAAAGCGUGGGGAGCAAACAGGG